rnacentral:rRNA from 1 species
GGGGCACCACCAGGAGUGGAGCCUGCGGCUUAUUUUGACUCAACACGGGAAAACUCCCCCGGCCCGGACACUGGAAGGAUUGACAUAUUGAGAGCUCUUUCUUGAUUCUGUGGGUGGUGGUGCAUGGCCGUUCUUAUUUGGUGGAGCUAUUUGUCUGGUUUAUUCCUAUCACGAACGACACUCUCCCCUACUAAAUAGAUCGUUGUUUUACAAACAACAGCACUUCCUCUUAGAGGGACAGGCGGUGAUUCAACCGCACGAAACAGAAACUAACAGGUCAUUGAUGCCCUUAGAUGUCCGGGGCCGCACGCUAGCUACAAUGAAGUGAUCAGCUUGUUUUUUUAACCAAAUCUGUUGAGACCAGGAAACAAAAUGAACCUUCUUCGUAUUUGGAAUAGCAGAUAGUUAUUAUUCUCCAUGAACUACGAAUUAGUAUGAAGCACGAGUUCUCGUCUAGUAUUUAUCUGCUCCCUGCCCUUUGUACACACCGCCCGUCGGUACUGAGCUGUGAAUGUAUAA